UUUUUUCACUUGUGGCUCCUGACCAUCAGCAUCAUCAACCCAAUCUUCUUCUCUAAACGGUGCUCCAUAUUGCUCCCCAUUUUUCGGCCCAGGUCCACUUUUCUUGAAAAGUUUGUAGAGUGCAUAGUAAUCCUUUACAUUCUUGCACCUCUUAAGCUCGUCUUCAUCCAAGGUAUACUCGUGCAUAACCCAGUCAGUACGCUCACCAUUAGGGGCACGACCUUGAUAGAACACCAGGGUCUUCUUCACUCCAACAUUACGUGAAUUGCACUGUAUUAUUCGAUCCCUUCCCGUGGCCUUCCAGUAGCCAUAUCUUGUAGCUCUACUCAAUCUUGAUGCAUUUGGG
rnacentral:misc_RNA from 1 species